rnacentral:lncRNA from 1 species
AGAUAUUCAUAAAAGUCAUACAGCUUCAGAAAUUGUUGCUUCUGAAAAUCAAGUUUUAAACCCAACAUGUAGUAAUAUUUGUAAUGCAAGUUUUGCAGAUAUUCAUAAAAGUCAUACAGCUUCAAAAGUUGUUACUUCUGAAAAUCAAGUUUUAAACCCAACAUGUAGUAAUAUUUGUAAUGCAAGUUUUACAGAUAUUCAUGAAAGUCAUA